GGAAGUGACGUUGGGGGGAGGCCAGCGGGCAGGUCCCCCCGCCGCGGGACCCCCUCCGGAGCGGGGCCGCCCCCCGGCUCCCCGCACCCGUUUCACCCCCGGUGUCUCCCCGAGAGCGCCUCAGCUCAGCCCACCUGCCCGCGCCGGCCUCCGCACCGCGGCCUCCAGCCACCACCCUCACCCCAGACAAUGAGCUGUGGAGAAGAGCAGGCUGUACUGGCUCUUCAGAGGCUUAAUUUGAAGACUCACCCUGUUACUGAUUGGUGGAUGUUACUGUAAAAGUAAUGUUGGAAGACCACAGUAAUUUUAGGCUGUGAGCUAGAUUGUGAAAGUGAAGAAGGGACUUUUGAAAAGCUGGAACUCAGAACAAAAUAGAAACAGUCUUUUCUCAGGAUGACAGAAGUAAUACGAAGAAAAGAUAAAGCAUGAAAGAAAAGUGAGAGGAAAGAGGCAGAA